rnacentral:rRNA from 1 species
UACGAAGGGGGCUAGCGUUGUUCGGAUUUACUGGGCGUAAAGCGCACGUAGGCGGAUUGGUCAGUUAGGGGUGAAAUCCUGGAGCUCAACUCCAGAACUGCCUUUAAUACUGCCAGUCUCGAGUCCGGAAGAGGUAAGUGGAACUCCUAGUGUAGAGGUGGAAUUCGUAGAUAUUAGGAAGAACACCAGUGGCGAAGGCGGCUUACUGGUCCGGUACUGACGCUGAGGUGCGAAAGCGUGGGGAGCGAACAGG